AUUGAACGCUGGCGGCAGGCCUAACACAUGCAAGUCGAGCGGGGGUAGCAAUACCCUAGCGGCGAACGGGUGAGGAAUGCUUGGGAAUCUGCCUCGUAGUGGGGGGAUAACGUUCCGAAAGGAACGCUAAUACCGCAUACGUCCUACGGGAGAAAGGGGGGGAUCUUCGGACCUCUCGCUAUGAGAUGAGCCCAAGCGGGAUUAGCUAGUUGGUGAGGUAAAGGCUCACCAAGGCUACGAUCCCUAGCUGGUCUGAGAGGAUGAUCAGCCACACUGGAACUGAGACACGGUCCAGACUCCUACGGGAGGCAGCAGUGGGGAAUAUUGGACAAUGGGCGAAAGCCUGAUCCAGCCAUGCCGCGUGUGUG
rnacentral:rRNA from 1 species